UGGGCGUAAGCGAGCGCAGGCGGUCUUUUAAGUCUAAUGUGAAAGCCUUCGGCUCAACCGAAGAAGUGCAUUGGAAACUGGGAGACUUGAGUGCAGAAGAGGACAGUGGAACUCCAUGUGUAGCGGUGAAAUGCGUAGAUAUAUGGAAGAACACCAGUGGCGAAGGCGGCUGUCUGGUCUGCAACUGACGCUGAGGCUCGAAAGCAUGGGUAGCGAACAGGAUUAGAUACCCUGGUAGUCCAUGCCGUAAACGAUGAUUACUAAGUGUUGGAGGGUUUCCGCCCUUCAGUGCUGCAGCUAACGCAUUAAGUAAUCCGCCUGGGGAGUACGACCGCAAGGUUGAAACUCAAAAGAAUUGACGGGGGCCCGCACAAGCGGUGGAGCAUGUGGUUUAAUUCGAAGCUACGCGAAGAACCUUACCAGGUCUUGACAUCUUCUGACAGUCUAAGAGAUUAGAGGUUCCCUUCGGGGACAGAAUGACAGGUGGUGCAUGGUUGUCGUCAGCUCGUGUCGUGAGAUGUUGGGUUAAGUCCCGCAACGAGCGCAACCCUUAUUACUAGUUGCCAGCAUUAAGUUGGGCACUCUAGUGAGACUGCCGGUGACAAACCGGAGGAAGGUGGGGACGACGUCAAAUCAUCAUGCCCCUUAUGACCUGGGCUACACACGUGCUACAAUGGAUGGUACAACGAGUCGCGAGACCGCGAGGUUAAGCUAAUCUCUUAAAACCAUUCUCAGUUCGGACUGUAGGCUGCAACUCGCCUACACGAAGUCGGAAUCGCUAGUAAUCGCGGAUCAGCAUGCCGCGGUGAAUACGUUCCCGGGCCUUGUACACACCGCCCGUCACACC
rnacentral:rRNA from 1 species